UGCCAGCCGCCGCGGUAAUACGGAGGGGGUUAGCGUUGUUCGGAAUUACUGGGCGUAAAGCGUACGUAGGCGGAUUAGUCAGUCAGAGGUGAAAUCCCAGGGCUCAACCCUGGAACUGCCUUUGAUACUGCUAGUCUUGAGUUCGAGAGAGGUGAGUGGAAUUCCAAGUGUAGAGGUGAAAUUCGUAGAUAUUAGAAAGAACACCAAAUGCGAAGGCAACUUACUGGGCCAAUACUGACGCUGAGGUUCGAAAGCGUGGGGAGCGAACGGGAUUAGAUA
rnacentral:rRNA from 1 species